GAUGAACGCUGGCGGCGUGCCUAAUACAUGCAAGUCGAGCGAACAGACGAGGAGCUUGCUCCUCUGACGUUAGCGGCGGACGGGUGAGUAACACGUGGAUAACCUACCUAUAAGACUGGGAUAACUUCGGGAAACCGGAGCUAAUACCGGAUAAUAUAUUGAACCGCAUGGUUCAAUAGUGAAAGACGGUUUUGCUGUCACUUAUAGAUGGAUCCGCGCCGCAUUAGCUAGUUGGUAAGGUAACGGCUUACCAAGGCAACGAUGCGUAGCCGACCUGAGAGGGUGGACAGGCACCCGGAGACCGAAAACCGGGCCCAGCCCCCGCGGGGGGCGCAAGGGGGGCAUUUUCCGGAAAGGGCGAAAACCGGGACGAACAACCCCGGGGGGUGGAAGAAGGUUUUUGGAACGUAAAACUUUUUUUAUGGGGAAGAAAAAAAUGUUAAAGAAAAUUGACCGUUUUGGAGGGAACAUAAUAAAAAGCCCCGGCCUAAUCCGGGC
rnacentral:rRNA from 1 species